rnacentral:rRNA from 2 species
UACCCUGUAGAGCCCGUUGCUAAUACAUGCAGUCGAGCGAACUGAUUAGAAGCUUGCUUCUAUGACGUUAGCGGCGGACGGGUGAGUAACACGUGGGCAACCUGCCUGUAAGACUGGGAUAACUUCGGGAAACCGAAGCUAAUACCGGAUAGGAUCUUCUCCUUCAUGGGAGAUGAUUGAAAGAUGGUUUCGGCUAUCACUUACAGAUGGGCCCGCGGUGCAUUAGCUAGUUGGUGAGGUAACGGCUCACCAAGGCAACGAUGCAUAGCCGACCUGAGAGGGUGAUCGGCCACACUGGGACUGAGACACGGCCCAGACUCCUACGGGAGGCAGCAGUAGGGAAUCUUCCGCAAUGGACGAAAGUCUGACGGAGCAACGCCGCGUGAGUGAUGAAGGCUUUCGGGUCGUAAAACUCUGUUGUUAGGGAAGAACAAGUACAAGAGUAACUGCUUGUACCUUGACGGUACCUAACCAGAAAGCCACGGCUAACUACGUGCCAGCAGCCGGAAUA